GGGACAUUAACUAACUUACAGUGCCAUCUAGCCCCAUCUAAGACAUAAGACGUCUAUGAGUGGUUGCUAAUUUUGUUCCUGUAACUGGGAGGCUGAGUCACUUCAGCUCUAACCCACCUCCUAGGUCAUGUGCUUGUGGAUAUAAGUGUAUCUUGGAGCACAUCCGUGCAUGCACUGGGAUGUAUUUUUAAAAGUCUGUCCAUGAGCCAUAAACGUAAAUGCCUGACCGGGAGCCGUCCCAGCUGGACAAAUCCUAUGUGCUUCCACGGCCACUCGAGUAAUGUCCGUAGCCAGACAUAUGCUCAUGGCCUGGAAUGAAGUCGACUGCAAUUACGUCCUGAGGGAGUCACUCAACGGGGGUUUUGUGGAGGCAGGACGCAGGCUCUGGUGGAGCUGCACAUGUGCUGUUAGACCUCCAACUGCACUCCCUCUGCCUUCAGCUUUGUGGGAAUGAGGAGCAGCAGGCUCAGAAAUACAGCCAGUCUGGUGCACAUCUGGAGACAGUAAUUGGAGGUGCCCCAUGGCAGGUGCUACAGAGGCGAAAACCAGCGCUCCUGCAGAGACAGAUUAGCAGCACACCAAAUGAUCUCUCUCGUCCUUGUGCACCCCAGAGCCCGGAAACUCCCCCAUCUCUCCAGCCUUGCAGCCCAGCUGUCCCAAACCCCAGGCAGCAGGGAUGGAUAACAGCAGGCUGCUC
rnacentral:lncRNA from 1 species